rnacentral:rRNA from 1 species
UACAGAGGUCCCGAGCGUUGUUCGGAUUCACUGGGCGUAAAGGGUGCGUAGGCGGUUCGUCGUGUCCGAUGUGAAAGCCCCGGGCUCAACCUGGGAAUGGCAUUGGAGGACUGGCGGGCUCGAGUGUGGCAGAGGGGGGUGGAAUUGCCGGUGUAGUGGUGAAAUGCGUAGAGAUCGGCAGGAACACCCAGGGGGAAACCAGCCGACUGGGCAUCUGCUGACGCUGAGGUGCGAGAGCGUGGGGAGCGAACCGG